AACCUCCGCAAUGUGAGAAAUCGCGACGGGGGGAUCCCAAGUGCCAUUCUUAACGGGAUGGCUUUUCAUUAGUGUAAAGAGCUUUUGGAAUAAGAGCUGGGCAAGACCGGUGCCAGCCGCCGCGGUAACACCGGCAGCUCUAGUGGUAACAAUUUUUAUUGGGCCUAAAGCGUCCGUAGCCGGUUUAAUAAGUCUCUGGUGAAAUCCUGUAGCUUAACUGUGGGAAUUGCUGGAGAUACUAUUAGACUUGAGACCGGGAGAGGUUAGAGGUACUCCCAGGGUAGAGGUGAAAUUCUGUAAUCCUGGGGGGACCGCCUGUUGCGAAGGCGUCUAACUGGAACGGUUCUGACGGUGAGGGACGAAAGUUAGGGGCGCGAACCGGAUUAGAUACCCGGGUAGUCCUAACUGUAAACGAUGCGGACUUGGUGUUGGGUGGCUUUGAGCUGCUCCAGUGCCGAAGGGAAGCUGUUAAGUCCGCCGCCUGGGAAGUACGGUCGCAAGACUGAAACUUAAAGGAAGU
rnacentral:rRNA from 1 species